rnacentral:rRNA from 1 species
GUGGGGAAUAUUGGACAAUGGGCGAAAGCCUGAUCCAGCCAUGCCGCGUGUGUGAAGAAGGUCUUCGGAUUGUAAAGCACUUUAAGUUGGGAGGAAGGGCAGUAAGUUAAUACCUUGCUGUUUUGACGUUACCAACAGAAUAAGCACCGGCUAACUUCGUGCCAGCAGCCGCGGUAAUACGAAGGGUGCAAGCGUUAAUCGGAAUUACUGUGCGUAAAGCGCGCGUAGGUGGUUCAGCAAGUUGAAGGUGAAAUCCCCGGGCUCAACCUGGGAACUGCCUCCAAAACUACUGAGCUAGAGUACGGUAGAGGGUAGUGGAAUUUCCUGUGUAGCGGUGAAAUGCGUAGAUAUAGGAAGGAACACCAGUGGCGAAGGCGACUACCUGGACUGAUACUGACACUGAGGUGCGAAAGCGUGGGGAGCAAACAGGAUUAGAAACCCUUGUAGUCC